ACUUCACCACGCGGGGGCUCCCACGAUCCGGGGGCUGAGAGGGCGACUGGCGGUCGCCGACCGCCCGAACCUGUCCGGGUAAUGCCGGCGUAGGGAGAACGCUCAUGGGCACAC
rnacentral:ncRNA from 1 species